AGUCCAAAGAAUUCUACAACACCCCGGCCAGUUGGGCCCACGGACCCAAUACUGUGAGCUUCAUCUAUGUAGAGUUUUGUAGGAAACUGCCAAACAGUCUUCCAAGGUGGCUCCACUAUUUUGCAUUCCCACCAACAAUGUAUGAGCCUUUGUGUUGCUGUGCAUUCUCGCCAGCAUGUACUGUUGCCAGUCUUCCAGAUGCUAGCCUCCUAACAGAUGGGGACACAUGAGUGGAGUCUUCUGUUGAUGCUGGGCCUCUGUCCCAGCAGGGCUACCUGGUUUGAAUCCUGGCUCUAUUUUCUCUCAGUUAUCUGCCCCGGCUCAAGUGUCUUCAUCUUCACAGUAACCUCAAAGGAAUUAUGAAAAAAAUUGACUUAUGUGAGGCAUUUGUUGUGGGGAGACUUUGCCCGUGGUGGCAAACAACAGCAAUAGAUAAAAACAAAUCUGGGAGUGAAAAAACAAAGGAGGCUUUGAUUGAUGUCAACAAGAAGACAGCACCAUGUUGUAAGGAAGUUCUGGCUUGAUUGCUGAGUGAGAAGAGCCUAUAGACAAAGCACCCCAGAGAAGAGAACGGAACAAGAACAUUGGAAACUAUUUUUAAAAGCUCCAGGAAACUACUCUUAAGUGACUAAAUGUACCUAAAACUUUUACUUUGGGUUCCUCAAGAAGCAUUUUUGGUUGCUAAAUUGCUUUUUGAGGUACACAGUCUAGAAUACGAUCUAGUUUUGAGAAGUUGCCACAAGGAAUCUGAGACCCAACUGGACAAAAUUUCAAAAUGGUUUUCAGAAAUGUGGAUGAACUUGAUAUGGGACCUUUUGGCAAAACUCUUGGCAGUUGGCUGGCUGUCAUAUCGCCAAGGGCCUAGAAACUCAGUUGAUGAGCUUGUGGAGACACCUGGCUUCACCCACAGUUGAAUUAACAGCACUGUUGUCCUGUAUAAAAGGUGUCAACAUUCCAGUGGAAGGUAACUUUUAGAGCCAGAUCAUUUUGAUUCCUGUUUAAUUGAUUUCACAUAGUAGCAUAAUGAAUAUAUUGGUUCAGUGGACUGAGCUGCAAUAUUUUGGAAAUCUCUAUGUGACUUAAUCACUGGAAGUGUUAUCCCAAGCCACAAAAUAUAUGACAAUAAAAAAAAAUACAUCUGUAGCCCUGAAAAUAAACAGAUCCUGAGCAACCUAGCCUACAAUGCCUGCUCAAUUGCAACACUGUGACACUCUGAGACUGAGGCAGCUGUGGAACAUGGCGCAUUCCAUUGUACUGCUGGGUUGGUCCAUGGAAAAGAAGAGCCAAGAUGAAGAUGAAGAGACUGUCAGGUUUUGGUCACUACAAGGGUAGGAAGUCUGGGAAUAAAAUAGUCUUUGGGCUGACAAAAUGAUGAGGGGAACUUAGAGCACUGGGGAUAAGGAGAGGACCAUCUUCCUCUCUGAAGUGGAAUGUAUGCAGAAUUUUCCACAGUAUAAGAGUUGGGUAGACCUCCUCUGAGGUCUCCUGGGUAUAACACAAACUUCCAAGGAUACUGGCAUUUUGGGAAUGAGUAUCUACCUACCGUGUAGUUGCUGGGUUUUGAGCAGAGAAAGAGAACCAUUGUGAAUACUCUUGAAUAAGAGACUUAUUCUAGAGAUUAGGCUGUACUCAAAUGUGGGAGUUGGUUAAAAAUCUAUGGAAGGGGAGACCAUUUCCACAAUAGUACCAUGAAGAGCUUCCAUGGAUCUUCCUGACAAUAAAACAAACUUAACUGAUGAAAAUACAAUGAUUUAAAGUAUCUGGAAAUUAUCUUAAGGACAUACAGCAAAUGAAGAAACAUUUAUUUAUUGCAUGUGUGUGUGUGUAUAGCUAGUGUAUAUACAUAUAUAUAUAUGUAUAUUUUAAAUUAUCACCCCUAUGGUAGUAAAAUUCAAAGCAGCUCUUUCUUCAGUAGAAUUCUUACUUUUACUCUAAAAUACUUGAGUGUCUUAUUGAUUCCCAAGUUGCAUUUAUUUCCCUUUUAAAUACCUUGGAAUGUCACUUAUACAAAUGAUACAGCCCCAAAGUUCAUGAAGGUGGAAUGAUACAAGAAUGAUGAGAGUAAGGGGGCAGGGCAAAAUGGCAGAAGAGUAGGGUCCCCAAGUCACCUGUCCCCACCAACUUACCUAGAUAACUUUCAAAUCAUCCUGAAAACCUACGAAUUCAGCCCGAGAUUUAAAGAGGGAACAGCUGGAAUGCUACAAAGAGAAGAGUUUGCACUUGUAACAAGCUAGGAAGGUGGAAAAAUAAAAAAUAAAAAAGAAUCCAGUGGGGGGGGGGUCCCCACGAGGAGCCAGGCUAAGGCCCUGUGGCAAGAGCCUCCAGGACAGGAAAGCCCAGGCCCGGAGAAGCAGGAACUUUAACAAUCUUCCCGGAUGGAAAGGCACUCGCAGGGAACUCGGGCAGGAUCCUAGGAGGAGCAGUGGAGCCUCCAGUCUCCUGGGGUCACUAACAGAGGAAGUGUGCCCCAGGGGAGAGCGCGCCACACACCAUGGGCUAAGCGCGGUUAAGGGCUGGAGCGUGUACCCAGCAGGGCCUUGGGAGCAGCUCAGGCGGUGGCUCCGGGUGGAGGGGGCUGCAGCCCCCAGAGCGAUUCCAACGUUGCAGGCCCCAGAUCCCAGGGCGCUGGGGGACUCAGCCCAGGAUCCUGUGCUACCCUCAGGGACAGGCGGAGGCUGGGAGUGCACAAGACAGUGAGGACACUCCUGCCACCGGGCACCCUGAGCUGUGCAGGUCAGCGUUCCCCAACCCCAGGAGCAUCCAGGCCAGUGUGGAUUGGGAGACUGUAGUAGUUACUGGGGGAGCUGACUCCAGGGCUGGGGAGCUGGCCAACACAACUGUUGUUGUUCCUCCUGGUGUCACCCUGUGCCUGGGAGGGUUGGGGCUGCCAGGGAACAGAGGUCCUACAGGAUAAACAGCUCCCACUGAGCCCAGCACCUGGCAGGGUGCACACACCUGAGAAUCAGCACAGCAGGCCCCUCCCUCAGAAGACCAGCUGGAAGGACAGGAGAAGAGCAAGUUCUUGAUGGAGCAGUGCUGGAAAGCUCCAGGGGAAG